rnacentral:rRNA from 1 species
UAGGGAAUCUUCGGCAAUGGACGAAAGUCUGACCGAGCAACGCCGCGUGAGUGAAGAAGGUUUUCGGAUCGUAAAACUCUGUUGUUAGAGAAGAACAAGGACGUUAGUAACUGAACGUCCCCUGACGGUAUCUAACCAGAAAGCCACGGCUAACUACGUGCCAGCAGCCGCGGUAAUACGUAGGUGGCAAGCGUUGUCCGGAUUUAUUGGGCGUAAAGCGAGCGCAGGCGGUUUCUUAAGUCUGAUGUGAAAGCCCCCGGCUCAACCGAGGAGGUGCAUUGGAAACUGGGAUGCUUGAGUGCAGAAGAGGGGAGUGGAAUUCCAUGUGUAGCGGUGAAAUGCGUAGAUAGAUGGAGGAACACCAGUGGCGAAGGCGGCUCUCUGGUCUGUAACUGACGCUGAGGCUCGAAAGCGGGGGAAGCAAACAGG